AUAAGAGAAAGAACGAUAAGAAAAGAAGCUUAUUAGCGGUGAGCUGAGGCUCUAAUAUCCGCUGCUUCUUUUCUUUAAUCGUUCACUUUCUCUUGGCCUCCUCUGAUCUUCUCUUUUUGUAAAGGAAAGGAUUCCCGGUCAACAUUACAAUUUUCUUUCUAAAGGAAAAAGAGAAAAAUUGUAAUGGACAGACCGGGAAUCGGAAGCCUUGGGAAUUUUCUUUUACAAUUAUUCAUAAAAAGAAA
rnacentral:ribozyme from 1 species